CUGCACCUUCCCAAUUCAAUUUAUAUGCGGUCUUUCCCUCUCCACUCUCCACUCUCCACUCUCCACUCCUCCCAAGUCCCAACAACUCACUCUCGACAGCUCUUCCCAACAACAACUCAUUCUCAGGUUCCUCUCCGGCACUCUCAGGUUCUUCUCCAGCAACAACUCGCGUCAACAUCAACAUUCAACAGACCAUUAAGACUCAGGGCUUUUUAAUGGAUCUACGUAAGCAAAAUGAGGAGCUAUCUGGCUGCAGUCUUAAUGAUCUGGGACGUAUGAUAAAGGAACAAGAAAGACAACUUACUGCUUUACUUGAGGAGCACCGCGGCGUUUUGGCCGAGUUAGAGAUGCCACUUCAGCUGCAUGUUGAAAGGGCGUUGACAAUAGCCAGAAAGUACUGCGAAAUAAAAAGCAAUCGGGAUGAGAUAACUGCGCUUAAUACUAAAUUGGAAAUUGUCAACCAGGAAAUCGAUAAAAUCAUCAAAGAGGGGAAGCGGUUGGAAGUCUUAAACGAUGAGGCGAAAGGCUUCCUUGCCAACUUACAACAAGCUUUGGACGAUUUGGUGAACUUAUCACGAUCUACAUAGGCUUUUAUGCCCCUAGGUUUGGAUGCAUGGAUGCAUGAUGCACUGUGAGACUUGUAGACUUUUGCUGUGGAUUUCUGUAGUGUUUCUUUGAGGUUCUAUGGGAUUGUAUGAUGCUUAAUUAGACAUUUGGGUCUUUGAACCCUUGUUUUAUGUUUAGCAUGUGUGUUUAAUUUGUUUGGUGGAUUUAGCCGGGCAGCUACCUAGGAGUGGAUAGUUGUGACGGUAACACUAGCCGUGUUAUGAUUAUGAAUUCUAAUCUUUUAUCUUAUUUUAAUUUAAUGAAAUCCGUUUAGCUUA